GGGUGACGCAUGUGGAACGAGCGGCGGACGGGUGAGUAACACGUGGGCAACCUGCCUGUAAGACUGGGAUAACNNNNNGAAACCGGNNNUAAUNNNNGAUANNNCGUUUNNNUGCAUAAGNNNNNGUUAAAAGGCGGNNNNNNCUGUCACUUACAGAUGGGCCCGCGGNNNNNUAGCUAGUUGGUGGGGUAAAAGCCUACCAAGGCGACGAUGCGUAGCCGACCUGAGAGGGUGAUCGGCCACACUGGGACUGAGACACGGCCCAGACUCCUACGGGAGGCAGCAGUAGGGAAUCUUCCGCAAUGGACGAAAGUCUGACGGAGCAACGCCGCGUGAGUGAAGAAGGUUUUCGGAUCGUAAAACUCUGUUGUUAGGGAAGAACAAGUGCCGUUCAAAUAGGGCGGCACCUUGACGGUACCUAACCAGAAAGCCCCGGCUAACUACGUGCCAGCAGCCGCGGUAAUACGUAGGGGGCAAGCGUUGUCCGGAAUUAUUGGGCGUAAAGCGCGCGCAGGCGGUCUUUUAAGUCUGAUGUGAAAGCCCACGGCUUAACCGUGGAGGGCCAUUGGAAACUGGAGGACUUGAGUACAGAAGAGGAGAGUGGAAUUCCACGUGUAGCGGUGAAAUGCGUAGAGAUGUGGAGGAACACCAGUGGCGAAGGCGACUCUCUGGUCUGUAACUGACGCUUAGGUGCGAAAGCGUGGGUAGCGAACAGGAUUAGAUACCCUGGUAGUCCACGCCGUAAACGAUGAGUGCUAGGUGUUAAGGGGGUUUCCGCCCCUUAGUGCUGCAGUUAACGCAUUAAGCACUCCGCCUGGGGAGUACGGCCGCAAGGCUGAAACUCAAAAGAAUUGACGGGGACCCGCACAAGCGGUGGAGCAUGUGGUUUAAUUCGAAGCAACGCGAAGAACCUUACCAGGUCUUGACAUCCUCUGACGGCCCUAGAGAUAGGGAGUUCCCUUCGGGGACAGAGUGACAGGUGGUGCAUGGUUGUCGUCAGCUCGUGUCGUGAGAUGUUGGGUUAAGUCCCGCAACGAGCGCAACCCUUGAUCUUAGUUGCCAGCAUUCAGUUGGGCACUCUAAGGUGACUGCCGGUGACAAACCGGAGGAAGGUGGGGAUGACGUCAAAUCAUCAUGCCCCUUAUGACCUGGGCUACACACGUGCUACAAUGGAUGGAACAAAGGGCAGCGAAGCCGUGAGGCCAAGCAAAUCCCACAAAACCAUUCUCAGUUCGGAUUGCAGGCUGCAACUCGCCUGCAUGAAGCCGGAAUCGCUAGUAAUCGCGGAUCAGCAUGCCNNNGUGNNNNNNUUCCCGGGUCUUGUACACACCGCCCGUCACACCACGAGAAGUUGGUAACACCCGAAAGUCGG
rnacentral:rRNA from 1 species